GUUCUGAGUCCCUGUGGGUCCGACCGCAGCCCUUCUGAGCGAAGGCUGGAGGGUCCCGGCUUGACCUGUGCUGCUGCAGCAGACCUGAGCCUUGGCCUGGCGGGCCCCCCUUCCUCCUCCCUAACCAGGCCUUCCUUCUCCUCACCCUGCUUCCACAUGACAUGCUUCUGAUGUGACUGAGCCCACAGCCUGGCUCCAUGGGCGGCCACAUUGCCAGGCCUGCCCAUCCUUCUUGCCACAGUGACUGGCUCAGGGGAAGGUGUGUGAUCAAGGUGGCCCGAAGAGUGUCAGGCAGGGAGUUCUCACUGCGGCUCAGCGAGUCAAGAACUUGACUAGUAUCCAUGAGGAUGUGGAUUCAACCCCUGACCUCACUCAGUGGGUUAACGAUCUGGUGUUGCCCAAAGUGGCCGUACUAAGCACCUCACUGAGAGAACCUGCCUAAGAAUGAAGUUGCCACAGAUUUCAGCAGUGAUGGAGGGAUGCUUUUGCCUUUUCCUGAGCCCCUGGGUCAAAUCAUGCCUGAAGUCCAUUUAACUCCUAGCCCUCAGUUACGUAAGUCCAUACACUGUCCUCCAUUCUUUAUAGACUCAGCUAAAAUACACAUAGAAUUUAUCAUCUUUUUUUUUAAGCUGUGCCUACGGCAUGCGGAAGUUCCUGAGCCAGGGAUCAAACCCGUGCCAUGGCAGAUCCUUCACCUGUGCCAGAUCCUUAAGCCCCCGCCCCCUAAGAGAACGCCAUCUUCGCCAUUUUAGAGUGUGCGGUUCGGUGGUGCAAAGAGCAGUCACACGUGUGCAAACACCACCACCACCUCCAGACUCUCCUCAUCCUGCAAAACGGAAACUGUCUACCCCUCAACACGUCCCACUCCCCAGCCCCUGCCAAGCACCCUUCUACUUUCUGCCUCUAUGAAUUUGAUGGUUUUCCCCUUUUUUUUUUUAAGUCUUUUGUCUUUUUAGAGCCACGCCCACGGCAUAUGGAGGUUCCCAGGUGGAGGGAGACGGGAGAUGGGGUGACAGAGGCAAGGUGAGGACGGGGCAGGGCCUGAACCAGCAGGGUGGGCAUCUUCAAGUGGCAGGUAAGGGUUUAGCAUCGCAGUCAAGACCAGAGCUGACGGGAGAGAAACAACGUCGCGUCCCCGGCUCCCAGGCGGCGGCGGUCACCAGGAGUGUCCUUGUGCCAGGGACAUGGCCUCUCCGCGUGCAGGUGACAUUUUCUCCAAACAGUUCAGGGCAGCGAGGGAGAGAGGGAGGGAGGAAGAGAAGGAGGGAGGGGGGAGGAAGGCAGGCCGCGCCCUCGGGGAGCGGGGGGGCGGGGGGGGGUGCGUGCGAAUGUGCCCCAAGGUUACAAACCCGCGUCUACACUGUGAGUGCACCGACACAAAAGAUCCACAACAGGCAGGUCCACACAGACCAGGCCGACGAGGAGUGGUUUCCGAGGGGUGAGGGGAUGGGGAUUGGGGGACAGUUCAGAGGCGCGGGGCUUCUUUUGGGGUGAUCAAAAACUCCUCUACUAGAAGUGGUGACGGACGCACGAGCUUAGUGUAAACACACCAAGGAUAAAACCCAACCUAACACCAAACCGCACCCUUCCCAGGGUGAACCGUGGGCGCGG
rnacentral:lncRNA from 1 species